rnacentral:rRNA from 1 species
GACGUAGGGCGCAAGCGUUUGUCCGGAUUUAUUGGGCGUAAAGAGCUCGUAGGCGGCUUGUUGCGUCGACCGUGAAAACCCGUGGCUCAACUGCGGGCUUGCGGUCGAUACGGGCGGGCUAGAGUUCGGUAGGGGAGACUGGAAUUCCUGGUGUAGCGGUGAAAUGCGCAGAUAUCAGGAGGAACACCGGUGGCGAAGGCGGGUCUCUGGGCCGAUACUGACGCUGAGGAGCGAAAGCGUGGGGAGCGAACAGG